rnacentral:tRNA from 1 species
AGGGGUAUAGCUCAAUUGGUAGAGCACCGGUCUCCAAAACCGGGGGUUGCGGGUUCGAUUCCUACUGCCCCUGCCA